UCGAGAAUCUUCCACAAUGGGCGCAAGCCCGAUGGAGCGACGCCGCGUGCGGGAAGAAGGCCUUCGGGUUGUAAACCGCUGUCGAGGGGGAUGAAGGGCGUGUGAAGAGCGCGUCUUGACAGAGCCCUGGAGGAAGCGCGGGCUAAGUACGUGCCAGCAGCCGCGGUAACACGUACUGCGCGAGCGUUAUUCGGAAUCACUGGGCGUAAAGGGUGCGUAGGCGGCCCCCCAAGCCAGACGUGAAAUCCCACGGCCCAACCGUGGAACUGCGUUUGGAACUGGAGGGCUUGAGCGGUCUAGGGGUGCGAGGAACUUCCGGUGGAGCGGUGAAAUGUGUUGAGAUCGGAAGGAACACCGAUGGCGAAAGCAUCGCACUGGGGACAGGCUGACGCUGAGGCACGAAAGCCAGGGGAGCGAACGGGAUUAGAUACCCCCGUAGUCC
rnacentral:rRNA from 1 species